ensembl:lincRNA uncharacterized LOC102008020
UUCAAAAAUCAGCCGCUAUGGUUCUCCAAGUGAACUGUCACCCUUACAAGCACAGAGAGAAACGGCUUUGAUGCGAACAUGGGAGCUUGGAAGCCAACCUCAAGACCGGAGUCAGGUCAGACCUUCACUGAAGUGGAGUCACACCAUCUCAAAGCUCUCCCCCCCACACUGAUUCCUAACUGUGCAGGCCAGGCUGUGAGGAGAAGCUAUAGAUCCUGGGUUGCUGAUCAGGGAGAAACCAAGAUUCUGGUUAUAAGUGCGGUGUCCGCAACUCCUCUGAGCCACCUUCUACAAUGGAGGCAGAGCGAUCUUCUCAGACGUCAAAAGACCACUCUAUUUCUUUGCUUCAAACUUCUUGAUAACUUUUUGUGAUUUGUAGUGUAAAACCCCAAAUCCUUAACAAGGGCUACACUUUUAAAAACUGUUAAGAAGUAUUGUUAAUGGGAAAGAUGAUAUAUAUGUCCUAGAGUGAAAGCACAGGUUUCUUUUGUAUUAGUUCACAGAAUAGUGAGUUUCAUUUCGGCAUAUUUGUGUAGGCAUAGAGCGCUUUGAUAUUCUUAAAGCAGUAUUGUUCAGUUGAAAAAUUAAAUAGUUACUCAACUUAUUUAUCAAAAAAAUAUAAUGGUAUCAAUUUAAUGGGUUGAAAGUAGCAUUUUAAAAAUACAGUAUAAUAGAAUAUAUAAGAGUGAAUUGCAUGUAGUGAGGAUCAGUAUUACUUUUUUAACUUUUCUUCAAUUAUGCUUAGAUUAUGAUACAUGGCAUUGUAACUGUAUGUUGAAUUUAAUAUGGCAUGAUAAAUAUAUCCCCUUAUACAUUAGCUCAAUAAAUAUUUGCUGUGAAUAAG